UUUCUCAACACUGAGGGUGCUGGACUUUAUCUACUUCAAAGUAAGAUUAAUCACAGUUGUGUACCAAACGCUCAUUCGACAUUUUCUUAUACUACAAACGACAUAGUGAGCGCCGCAGACAUUCGAGACAAAAAAAAUAUUUCUUUCAGACAUGUGCUGCAAUUCGUUUUCGCAUGAAAUUUUUAUAGAAAACGUGACACCAUGUGCUGAAUUUCACUGUUCCGUUUUCAAACCUCAAUCGUAUCAUAUUUAACAUGUGACAGAAAUCGAAUUCGUCAUAUUUUUUCCGUUUUGAAAUCGGUCGGCCGUGAGCACACGCAAAAUAUAUUUGAUUGUAAAAAAGUUGAAAAAAUGGACUAACAUAAAACACAAGCACAUAAUGAAAUAUUUAUAAAUUUCAUGGAACAGCACCCGGAUAUAGCGAAAAAUUUUGUUAAGGGCGACCGCGCGGCAAUGGAGGCUUUUUGCUGGCGAAAAAGCUUAAUUGCUAUAAAUGGCUGGAAGAAAGUCUGGUCGGACUGUAAAGAAAAAAUUGCACACAAUAAAUGCGAGACAAUAGCCUCCGGUGGAGUUCAGUUUAACCAGUUCGUUUUAACAUCAACGAAAGAAAAAAUUGCUGAACUAGCCGGUAUAUUUACGAGUGCUGAAGGGAUUCCCAAAAUGUUUUUUUUUUUCAGUAUAAAUGAAAAUUCUGAUCCCUCGGAUGAAGAAAAUAUUGUGCCGAGUGCGUCAGAAAGUACGUCAAUACCCCAAAAACGUCUUCGGCAAGACUCGAUUCAAGAUUGCAUAAGGUAAAAUAUCGUAAAGGAGGCAGGUGCGGUUGAAAAGUUGUCUGGGACAUUGGGGCAUCUUCUCAAAAGUUUCAGAGAAACUUCAACAAUUUUAAAAGAAGCGAAUCAUUUCGGUAUUUCGGUACAAUAAAAACACUCAUAUUCACAAAAAUAUUUCACACAAAAUUGUUAUUGAAUGUCAGUUGUUUGACUAUCAGCUCUUUCGAAUUUAAGUUCGAAUCAGAAAAAAAUCGUGUGAAUUUUAUCAUACCUCAAAUCAAUUCCUACGAUUUGCAAUUUCGGUGUCAAAAUGAAAUCGCGCGAUUUCCAGCACAUGCCGGUUUAUAUUAUUUAUAUCACCAUAAAAGACUUUUCAACGUUAUUUCGUAUGUUUCAAAACUAGGAUGCAUGCACCACCUGAGCUUGCGUGCUAAAAGUGGUGUGCACGAUUUAAAAGUGGUGAUUUUGACUUAAUAGACUAAGAACGUCCUGGGCUGGGCGGCAUUACUCGAUAAAUAUUGCUACAAACAUAAGAAACCCUCACAGAGUCUUUGGGAGUCACUCAUACCCGAGCCAGACAUGUGGUAACAAUACCAUAGUAAAGGUACCACGGUAUUCUGUUUACUACGUUGAUGACACACAUGGCAAUGUAGUAAACUCAAAUACCAGCUUUCAGAAGCAUUAAAUAUUUAAUCUAUUUUCAUCGCAAAAAAAGUGAUUUGGUUAAAGCUUCUCUAAAAUCCUCACACAAAAUAAGGUAUUUCCUGCUUUUCCGGAAGAAAAAUUGUGAAAAAUGUUUUGUUUUCCAUUUCAUUAAUUAAUUUUUUAACUAAUUUUGACAGAAUAUUUCGAAGAUCUUUUGUCUAAAAGCUUUUAGCAAAGUUUGUUACCUGUUUUUUAGGUGUUUAUAGAAAUACCACAAUGAAACAUCAUAGGAUUGUUACCAGCAAAAUACUACAUUGCUCAUAUGGUAUUUUGCUAGUAUUUGGUGACACACAUUGGUAUUUGUAGCAUAUAUGGUAUUUUUACUAUGUACAUGUCUGUCUCGGGUAUCAGGCAGCUUUGCCAAAACGUUUACGUAUAAAUGCAGUUUGAAGGCAUUAGAAAUAACUCAGUUUGCUUGUUUGUGACUAGUGAUGAAGAAUGGAUCCAUUAUGGCAGGGGUGGG